rnacentral:rRNA from 1 species
GAUGAACGCUAGCGGCAGGCUUAACACAUGCAAGUCGAGGGGCAACACGGGUAGCAAUACCUGGUGGCGACCGGCGCAAGGGUGCGUAACGCGUGAGCAACAUGCCCUAUACAGGGGGAUAAUCCAGGGAAACUUGGUCUAAUAUCCCAUAGUAUUUAGAGGUGGCAUCACCACUAAAUUAAAGCUUCGGUGGUAUAGGAUUGGCUCGCGUGACAUUAGCUUGAUGGUGGGGUAACGGCUCACCAUGGCGAUGAUGUCUAGGGGUUCUGAGAGGAAGACCCCCCAACUGGGACUGAGACACGGCCCAGACUCCUACGGGAGGCAGCAGUGAGGAAUAUUGGACAAUGGAUGGAAAUCUGAUCCAGCCAUGCCGCGUGCAGGGAAGACGGCCCUAUGGGUUGUAAACUGCUUUUAAUGGGAGCAAUAAGGUUUACGCGUAGACCGAUGAGAGUACCAUAUGAAUAAGCAUCGGCUAACUCCG